rfam:Ornithorhynchus anatinus chromosome 4, whole genome shotgun sequence.
CCCCUCUCAGGAUCGCACCUGGGGAGUUCGCAGUACUCCACCAGUCUCGGCUAUGGGAGGGAGAGUCAAGCAGAGGCCUAUUCAUUCCAUUCCUAGUUUGGCUAAUGGCUCGUGAGUGGAAAGCAAUCGGCUACAAGU